rnacentral:lncRNA from 1 species
UUUUAUAUAUCCAGAGUGUCUAGUCUGAAUCUGGGUUUAUAUAUCCAGAGUGUCUAGUCUGGGUUUAUAUAUCCAGAGUGUCUAGGCUGGGUCUGGGUUUAUAUAUCCAGAGUGUCUAGGCUGGAUCUGGGUUUAUAUAUCCAGAGUGUCUAGGCUGGGUCUGGGUUUAUAUAUCCAGAGUGUCUAGGCUGGGUCUGGGUUUAUAUAUCCAGAGUGUCUAGGCUGGGUUUAUAUAUCCAGAGUGUCUAGGCUGGGUCUGGGUUUAUAUAUCCAGAGUGUCUAGGCUGGGUUUAUAUAUCCAGAGUGUCUAGGCUGGGUCUGGGUUUAUAUAUCCAGAGUGUCUAGGCUGGGUCUGGGUUUAUAUAUCCAGAGUGUCUAGGCUGGAUCUGGGUUUAUAUAUCCAGAGUGUCUAGGCUGGGUCUGGGUUUAUAUAUCCAGAGUGUCUAGGCUGGGUCUGGGUUUAUAUAUCCAGAGUGUCUAGGCUGGGUCUGGGUUUAUAUAUCCAGAGUGUCUAGGCUGGGUCUGGGUUUAUAUAUCCAGAGUGUCUAGGCUGGGUUUAUAUAUCCAGAGUGUCUAGGCUGGGUCUGGGUUUAUAUAUCCAGAGUGUCUAGG